rnacentral:rRNA from 1 species
GGAAUCACUAGUAAUCGCGGAUCAGCAUGCCGCGGUGAAUGCGUUCUCGGGCCUUGUACACACCGCCCGUCACACCAUGAGAGUCGGGAACACCCGAAGUCCGUAGCCUAACCGCAAGGGGGCGCGGCCGAAGGUGGGCUCGAUAAUUGGGGUGAAGUCGUAACAAGGUAUC